rnacentral:lncRNA from 1 species
UGGCGUGUGAAGUAUUCUUGAGGUCUGAGAUUCAAUUCCUAAGUUGUGCAAGAGAGUAAUUAUUUUGCUGCUUGAGCUGUAUAGGUAGUGGUGUUGGACUGAAACACAGUUGUGGGGAGUUUGAAUGGAUUUUGAAUAGAGUUGUUGGGGAGUUGAGGAGUAGUGGGUGGAGAGAUUCAAGGAGGGAUAAGGGGAGGGAUUUGGGGAGAAAAUUUAGGAGUGGGUUGAGAGGAGAGUUGUACCGUUUGGGGAGUUUUCAGCUUGGGAAAUUCGGUUGGGGUUAGGUUGUGCCGAGUUUGGUCUUAGGCAUUUUGGGUAAUCGGUGUUUUGUGUUGUUUUUUCUGCUUGUCUAGGUUUUGGUCAGUUUCAUUUUGCAGCUAUUGCUUUUUGGUGUCAAAUUUUGGCAAGUUUCUUCUCGGG